rnacentral:rRNA from 1 species
UACGAAGGGGGCUAGCGUUGUUCGGAAUUACUGGGCGUAAAGGGCGCGCAGGCGGCCUUAGAAGUCAGAUGUGAAAGCCCCGGGCUCAACCUGGGAAUGGCAUUUGAUACUCUGAGGCUGGAGUACGGGAGAGGAGAGUGGAAUUCCCAGUGUAGAGGUGAAAUUCGUAGAUAUUGGGAAGAACACCGGUGGCGAAGGCGGCUCUCUGGACCGUAACUGACGCUGAGGCGCGAAAGCGUGGGGAGCAAACAGG